rnacentral:piRNA from 1 species
UGAGAGUUGAAAGAAAGGAAUCUGGAGA